ensembl:lncRNA
GCGCUACUUUAGACCAGGACCUACAGGGUAGUAGUGCACUACUUUAGCCCAGGGCCCAUAGGGUAGUAGUGCACUACUUUAGACCAGGGCCUAUAGGGUAGUAGUGCACUACUUUAGACCAGGGCCUACAGGGUAGUAGGGCACUACUUUAGACCAGGGCCUACAGGGUAGUAGGGCACUACUUUAGACCAGGACCUAAAGGGUAGUAGGGCACUACUUUAGACCAGGGCCUACAGGGUAGUAGUGCACUACUUUAGACCAGGGCCUACAGGGUAGUAGUGCACUACUUUAGACCAGGGCCCAUAGGGUAGUAGUGCACUACUUUAGACCAGGGUCUACAGGGUAGUAGUGCACUACUUUAGACCAGGGCCUAUAGGGUAGUAGGGCACUACUUUAGACCAGGGCCUACAGGGUAGUAGGGCACUACUUUAGACCAGGGUCUACAGGGUAGUAGGGCACUACUUU